rnacentral:rRNA from 1 species
AUUGAACGCUGGCGGCAUGCCUUACACAUGCAAGUCGAACGGGGUGAGGAGCUUGCUCCUCAUCUAGUGGCGAACGGGUGAGUAAUACAUCGGAACGUACCGUGUAGUGGGGGAUAACUUACCGAAAGGUAGGCUAAUACCGCAUACGAUACACGGAUGAAAGCAGGGGACCUUCGGGCCUUGUGCUAUACGAGCGGCCGAUGUCUGAUUAGCUAGUUGGUGAGGUAAAGGCUCACCAAGGCAACGAUCAGUAGCGGGUCUGAGAGGAUGAUCCGCCACACUGGGACUGAGACACGGCCCAGACUCCUACGGGAGGCAGCAGUGGGGAAUAUUGGACAAUGGGCGGAAGCCUGAUCCAGCCAUGCCGCGUGUGUGAAGAAGGCCUUUUGGUUGUAAAGCACUUUAAGCGAGGAGGAGGAGCUUCAGGUUAAUACCCUGGAUGCUUGGACGUUACUCACGGAAUAAGCACCGGCUAACUCUGUG